rnacentral:rRNA from 1 species
CCUACGGGUGGCUGCAGUGAGGAAUAUUGGUCAAUGGCCGGAAGGCUGAACCAGCCAUGCCGCGUGAAGGUCAGUGCCCUAUGGGCGUUAAACUUCUUUUGUGCGGGAGCAAUAAUGGUCACGUGUGGCCAGACGAGAGUACCGUACGAAUAAGCAUCGGCUAACUCCGUGCCAGCAGCCGCGGUAAUACGGGGGAUGCAAGCGUUAUCCGGAUUUAUUGGGUUUAAAGGGUGCGUAGGCUGGGAGGUAAGUCAGCGGUGAAAAGCCCCCGCUCAACGGGGUGAAGUGCCAUUGAUACUGGCUGGCUGGAGUGCGGAUGCGGUGGGAGGAAUGUGUGGUGUAGCGGUGAAAUGCAUAGAUAUCACACAGAACACCGAUUGCGAAGGCAUCUCACGAAUCCGCGAUUGACGCUGAUGCACGAAGGCGUGGGUAUCAAACAGGAUUAGAUACCCCAGUAGUC